rnacentral:rRNA from 2 species
UGGAAUGGCGGCUGCUAUACAUGCAAGUCGAGCGGACAGAAGGGAGCUUGCUCCCGGAUGUUAGCGGCGGACGGGUGAGUAACACGUGGGUAACCUGCCUGUAAGACUGGGAUAACUCCGGGAAACCGGAGCUAAUACCGGAUAGUUCCUUGAACCGCAUGGUUCAAGGAUGAAAGACGGUUUCGGCUGUCACUUACAGAUGGACCCGCGGCGCAUUAGCUAGUUGGUGGGGUAAUGGCUCACCAAGGCGACGAUGCGUAGCCGACCUGAGAGGGUGAUCGGCCACACUGGGACUGAGACACGGCCCAGACUCCUACGGGAGGCAGCAGUAGGGAAUCUUCCGCAAUGGACGAAAGUCUGACGGAGCAACGCCGCGUGAGUGAUGAAGGUUUUCGGAUCGUAAAGCUCUGUUGUUAGGGAAGAACAAGUGCGAGAGUAACUGCUCGCACCUUGACGGUACCUAACCAGAAAGCCACGGCUAACUACGUGCCAGCAGCCGCGGUAAUACGUAGGUGGCAAGCGUUGUCCGGAAUUAUUGGGCGUAAAGGGCUCGCAGGCGGUUUCUUAAGUCUGAUGUGAAAGCCCCCGGCUCAACCGGGGAGGGUCAUUGGAAACUGGGAAACUUGAGUGCAGAAGAGGAGAGUGGAAUUCCACGUGUAGCGGUGAAAUGCGUAGAGAUGUGGAGGAACACCAGUGGCGAAGGCGACUCUCUGGUCUGUAACUGACGCUGAGGAGCGAAAGCGUGGGGAGCGAACAGGAUUAGAUACCCUGGUAGUCCACGCCGUAAACGAUGAGUGCUAAGUGUUAGGGGGUUUCCGCCCCUUAGUGCUGCAGCUAACGCAUUAAGCACUCCGCCUGGGGAGUACGGUCGCAAGACUGAACUCAAAGGAAUUGACGGGGCCCGCACAAGCGGUGGGAGCAUGGUGGUUUAAUU